CUGGGCUACGGGGACAUGUACCCCAUGACGUGGUCGGGGAUGUUGGUGGGGGCCCUGUGCGCCCUGGCGGGGGUCCUCACCAUCGCCAUGCCCGUCCCCGUCAUCGUCAACAAC
rfam:Callipepla squamata strain Texas jcf7180005142949, whole genome shotgun sequence.